CCGGCCUCGCCUGCGCGGUGCUGCACGGCGCGCUCUUCGUCAUGGGCGUCCUCCAGACCGUUCUGCUCGGACGUCCCGCAUCUGGCGUCCUGGACGGCUGCCUGACCGUCGCUUUCGGUCGCCCGCUGACUGACAUCCUGGGCGUCCUCCAGACUGUUCUGCUUGGGCGUCCCGCAUCUGGCAUCCUGGACGGCCGCCUGACUGUCCGUUCGGUCGUUCUCCACUGACGCCCUGGCCGCGCAACCCUUCCGUUCUGUGCUGUUGAUUCGGGUUGCGCAUGGCGUCCUGUGUGGGUGAAUUCUAGGGGGACCUGUGUGGUGACCCUUUGUUUGGCACAAUUCACCCACCAUACUUGAGUGUCCAUUUGGCCGUGCGCGUUACCGGCUGCGUCAGUCACGUGACAGAAACUAUAAAGAGCUGCGCGCGUUCCGGCUCAUUAGAGAGAGUGUACGAGAGUUCACAGAGAGUAGUUACAGAGCUGGACACAGCAAUUGUGCAAUAAAGACUCUUAACAACGCAUCCCGCUUCACUGGUGACCCCGACGAGCCUCGCUGAAGUCUGAGGCAUUUUGAACACUUUACGCAAUGGCGGAUACUUGCUUUUUCGAGUUAAGAAGCUAAUGUUAGCAACACUAGCGCGAAUCGUUUGAAAGAAUUUAACUGAUUAGAACUUGGUAGUUUUUUUCCUUUUUCUUGCCUUUUUCUUGGGGUAAUUUUCACUUGAGUUUGUUUGCGUUUGCUGUGAUUUUAGUUUUUUUCAACAUGAUAAAUGCCUGAGCAUUAUGGCCUCAUUUUCUCGGGCAGAUAAGGGAAAGAACAAUGAAGAGAUCUCAAAACAUUGAGACAUUCUUUAUUGUCAAGAAGAAAAAAAGAUCAGCUGCUGGAGACAGUGGGGCUACAGCAUCCUCUUCAGGACAGCAUUCAGCAGAGAUUCUCAUCUGUGAGGGUGACAGCCAUUCAGAUGAGGAUCCAUAAGCGUCUAUAUGUGAAAGUGGCAGCGACACAGACGAGGCUCCACAUUCUCCGCUCCCCACAUCGUCCCAGUCAUCAGAUAUAUCACGGUGCCCAGCCGAUGGACCAUCACGGCCAUACCUGAGGAUGUAUCCCAGGACGGUGCAGGCAGGGAGGAAGAGAUCCUUUAACAGCUCAUGGUACCAACAUUUCCCAUUUCUUUUCCUCUUUUAGAAAAAGGUUUUGCGCCAUCUACUGUAAGUACUGACAAUCAUUUGGGGUGAGAAGUUUGAAGUAUGCAGUGUAACAAAAUCUGAUUAAUAUACAAAAUAUGGACGUAUGGGUUGGAUUGCAUGUAUGGGUUUCACAGUACACUGUGAUGAAAUGGUGGGCCAUAAGUAUGGGCCCCUUGGCAUUAUUUUGCUAAGGGCCCCCAAAUGGCCCCUAACCCCUAACCCUGAUGAAGUCAUUACUUGUAAUCUAGUUUACUGGUCAUUAUUGUCAUCACCUAAAAUCAGAAGCUAUCAUUGGAAACUUUAAACC